UGGAAUGGUUUUUGAUCAAAAUCUAUAUGGCCUUUGGAUUGGACUGCGACCGAUCAGGCUGUUGGUGAGGUAAUGGCCCACCAAACCUGUAACCGGUACGGGCUCUGAGAGGAGGAGCCCGGAGAUGGGUACUGAGAAAAGGACCCAGGCCCUAUGGGGCGCAGCAGGCGCGAAACCUCUGCAAUAGGCGAAAGCCUGACAGGGUUAUUCUGAGUGACUUUCGCUAAGAAAGUCUUUUGACAUCUCUAAAAAUGGUGUAGAAUAAGGGGUGGGCAAGUCUGGUGUCAGCCGCCGCGGUAAUACAGCACCCCGAGUGGUCGGGACGAUUAUUGGGCCUAAAGCAUCCGUAGCCGGUUUUACAAGUCCUCCGUUAAAUCCAACUGCUUAACAGAUGGGCCGCGGAGGAUACUAUAAGACUAGGAGGCAGGAGAGGCAAGCGGUACUCAGUGGGUAGGGGUAAAAUCCGUUGAUCCAUUGAAGACCACCAGUGGCGAAGGCGGCUUG
rnacentral:rRNA from 1 species